UUAUUUUUAUUAAAUUAAAAUUAAUUAGUUAUUAAAUGUAUAAUCAUUAAAAAUAAAAAAUUUGGCGGUAUUUAAUAUUUAGAGGAACUUGUUUGUUAAAUUGAUAAUCCACGAAUGGAAAUACUUAAUUUGAUAAUUUUAUGUAUUGUUGUUGAAAAAUUGUAUUAAAAGAUAAAAAUUAAAAAAUUUAAUUUAAUUAUAAUUCAAAUCAAAAUGUAGAAUAAUUAAGAAUUUAAAUGAGUUACAAUUAAAUAAAUAAUUGAAUUUUAUAAUUUAAUUUAUAAAUGAAAGUGGAUUUAAAAGUAAAUUUAUAAAAAUUUAUAAAUGAAA
rnacentral:rRNA from 1 species